GCAGGCGGGGGCGCAGGAAGACAGCUGAUGUGGGGCUGGUCAGCCCGGCUCUGCAGUCUCAUCGCCAUAUCCCAUCUGGAGCUAUGAGAAGCAGAAACCUGGCAGCUUCCGAGGCAAAUGAAAAGCCAACCUUCCUCAAAUUGUUUUAUUUAAAGCCAGACUCCUGACUGUUUGAAGCCGCUUGAUUUUGGCAGUACUUGUUCCCGUUUCUUCUUCCUCGCUGCUUUUAAACAGCCCUCAGAGAUAACAGGAACACGUCGUUGCCCGCGCCUCGCUUGCAGAUGCUCAGAAGACCUCUGCCUCUCCCCACCCCCGCCGGCUGCUCGGAGCUGCAGCUGGGUGGCGCGCCUGUGAGCGUGGGCGCGGGGACGCGGCUGGGUUGGAGCAAGGCAGGGAGCCUGGAACUGAUCUGCACCUGAAGCAUAGGUUCUGUCCUCUGUGCCUUCGUAGGGAAAAGCGACUCUUUCAAUUCAAGUUGCGCCACCACCAGGGUUUUCCCUUCUCCUUCGGCGGGAGGAGGUUUUGCUCCUGGGAUGUGGUGAGGACUAAGCACUGAGCUCGGCACCUUCCACAUGGCAGCGUCCGGUAAAGAGGGCUCUUUGUCCUAUUCUGGUGAGAAUCAAGUGCGAGACUAUAUUGCCCAGCCUGGUAAAGUGCCCGGCACAUAUGAACAAGCAUAAACGAUACCUAUCAUCAUCAUCACCACCAACACCACCAUUAUUAUAACAAGGGAAACAAACAUAGGAACUCCUGUACUUAGGCCGAGCAGAACCAAUAG
rnacentral:lncRNA from 1 species